CUAGCGACUUCAGAGUUUGAUCCUGGCUCAGGAUGAACGCUGGCGGCGUGCCUAACACAUGCAAGUCGAACGAAGCUCUUACGACGGAACUCUUCGGAGGGAAGAUGUAUUAGACUUAGUGGCGGACGGGUGAGUAACGCGUGGGUAACCUGCCCUGUACAGGGGGACAACAGUUAGAAAUGACUGCUAAUACCGCAUAAACCUCCGGGAUCGCAUGAUUCAGAAGGAAAAACUCCGGUGGUACAGGAUGGGCCCGCGUCUGAUUAGCUAGUUGGUGAGGUAACGGCCCACCAAGGCGACGAUCAGUAGCCGGCUUGAGAGAGUGAACGGCCACAUUGGGACUGAGACACGGCCCAA
rnacentral:rRNA from 1 species